CGGAGGGAUCAUUACCGAGUUAUUCAACUCAUCAACCCUGUGAACAUACCUAAACGUUGCUUCGGCGGGAACAGACGGCCCCGUGAAACGGGCCGCCCCCGCCAGAGGACCCCUAACUCUGUUUCUAUAAUGUUUCUUCUGAGUAAAACAAGCAAAUAAAUUAAAACUUUCAACAACGGAUCUCUUGGCUCUGGCAUCGAUGAAGAACGCAGCGAAAUGCGAUAAGUAAUGUGAAUUGCAGAAUUCAGUGAAUCAUCGAAUCUUUGAACGCACAUUGCGCCCGCCAGUAUUCUGGCGGGCAUGCCUGUUCGAGCGUCAUUACAACCCUCAGGCCCCCGGGCCUGGCGUUGGGGAUCGGCGGAGCCCCCCGUGGGCACACGCCGUCCCCCAAAUACAGUGGCGGUCCCGCCGCAGCUUCCAUCGCGUAGUAGCUAACACCUCGCGACUGGAGAGCGGCGCGGCCACGCCGUAAAACACCCAACUCUUCUGAAGUUGACCUCGAAUCAGGUAGGAAUACCCGCUGAACUUAAGCAU
rnacentral:rRNA from 1 species